ensembl:lncRNA
UUUUGUUUUAAUUUCUUUUUGGCUGUCCUGGGUCUUCGUUGCUUUGUGCGGGCUCUUCUCUAGCUGUGGCCCAACAGGAAGCCAGCUGGCUCAAGAAGUACAGUCUACAGGCGUCAGUUCUGCUUUGACACAGAGGAAGGAGAAGAGUAAUUAACACUACAACGGCUGUAAUAAAUCACCCCAAAGAGGCCACAGCCUGAUAGAAUUGCAGUCUCAUGUGGGUUAGAGGUUCUUCCAAGUGGCUCGCCCUUCAGGGAUGACUCAUGACGGGAUCCUCCUCUCACAUGACGGUACCUGUAUUACAGCAAUACUUUGAAAAUAUUUCACUCAUAAUGGAUUUGAGUUGAGACAUACACAGCCACGUCAAGAGGCAGAAUGCCUUCUACGUUAGCAGAACCUGACACAAUAGGCUGAUUAAAGCUAUUGUCCUCUCUCAAGAAAAAAUAUGUCUGUUGGAAAGGGGUUUAUUCUGCAACGGGUGCUUAAAAGGGGAGUUGCAAAAAAGCAAACGUUGACAGUUUCCUAUCUAAGCUUUGUCCUGGGAGGGUGAUUUGUGUGUAUCUGGUAUAUAUAGCUGUAAUUUUAUGUAUCAUUAUAUAGAGCAUCUGAUGGGUAUGUAAUUACUUUAUGAGUUUAAACUUAUGGUAUUUACUUCUCAAUCAAUGAGAAAAUAUAAAUCAUUUUGAUACACAGGAAAAAAAUAGACAACUUUGCAAUCUAUUGUGUUAUCAGAGUUAGUAUUUUUGCUUUGUUUGCCCAUGUCUUGGUCAGGAUAGGUUAGAUUAUGCUGCCGUAACAAACAAUCCUGACAUCUCAGUGGCACGUGACAAAGGUUUAUUUCUCAUUCAG